UGCAAUGGCGGCGGCCACUUCCUCCUUU
rnacentral:sRNA from 1 species